rnacentral:lncRNA from 1 species
CUUUUCUCCUUUUCUGUAGAACCUAAUCAGACAAAUCGUUUCAAAAUUUGCGAUGCACAACAAAUAUCAAGAACAUGGUAGAUUAUGGUUGCUUUGUACAGGCUAUAGUUUCCAAAAUUUUCAUUAGCUACUGCCUGUUUCUUUCAGCUUAGCUUUGUGUGGCAGAAAACUAAUUAAAUUAGUACAUCUAUGUUGUCUUCUGCCCAUGGUUAUCAUGUGAGAGCUUACAGUUAUGUACCUGCAACCUGAAUUUUGGUUAUUGCAUAUAAUUAUGUAGUUUUUUUUUGAAGCCCCAAAUGGGGUGACUUUAUAUUGAGGAGGAGUGAAAAUAAUUACAAGGUGCCGUGGUUGAUCCAUGGCAGAUUACAUAUGAUUAUGUAGUGAAAACCUGUUCUGCCUCUUAUCUGAGAUGUAAUAUUUGCAAAGGAGGAAUCCUAUAUAUGGCUGUCAAUUGUUUAGCCUAAUUUGAUAUUUUGAUGAUAGCCCAAAAAAGAAAGAAAG